UCAGAGUCUCCUCAGACGCCGAGGGUCAUGGUGCCCCGAACCCUCCUCCUGCUGCUCUCGGGGGCCCUGGCCCUGACCGAGACCUGGGCCGGCUCGCACUCCAUGAGGUAUUUCAGCACCUCCGUGUCCCAGCCCGGCCGCGGGGAGCCCCGCUUCAUCUCCGUGGGCUACGUGGACGACACGCAGUUCGUGCGGUUCGACAGCGACGCCGAGAGUCCGAGGAUGGAGCCGCGGGCGCCGUGGGUGGAGCAGGAGGGGCCGGAGUAUUGGGACCGGGAAACGCGGAACGCCCAGGGCCACGCACAGACUCACCGAGAGAACCCGCGGACCCUGCUCCGCUACUACAACCCAGGUCACGACCCCUCCCCAUCCCCUAACGGACGGCCCGGGUGGCCCCGAGUCUCUGGGUCCGAGAUCCGCCCCGAGGCCGCGCGACCCGCCCAGACCCUUGACCGGAGAGAGCCCCAGGCGCCUUUACCCGGUUUUAUUUUCAGCUGAGGCCGAAGUCCCAGCGGGUUGGUCGGGGCGGGGCUCGGUGGGCGGGGCUGACCGCGGGGGCGGGGCCAGGGUCUCACACCAUCCAGAGGGUGUUUGGCUGCGACCUGGGGCCUGACGGGCGCCUCCUCCGCGGAUAUAACCAGCACGCCUACGACGGCAAGGAUUACAUCGCCCUGAACGAGGACCUGCGCUCCUGGACCGCAGCGGACACUGCGGCUCAGAACACCCAGCGCAAGUGGGAGGCGUGCGGUGAGGCGGAGGAGUGGAGAGCCUACCUGGAGGGCGAGUGCCUGGAGUGGCUCCGCAGACACCUGGAGAACGGGAAGGAGACGCUGCAGCGUGCGGAUCCCCCAAAGACACACGUGACCCACCACCCCGUCUCUGACCAUGAGGCCACCCUGAGGUGCUGGGCCCUGGGCUUCUACCCUGCGGAGAUCACACUGAUGUGGCAGCAGGAUGGGGAGGACCAAACUGAAGACACCCAGCUUGUGGAGACCAGGCCUGCAGGGGAUGGAACCUUCCAGAAGUGGGCAGCUGUGGUGGUGUCUUCUGGAGAAGAGCAGAGAUACACGUGCCAUGUGCAGCACAAGGGGCUGCUGGAGCCCCUCACCCUGAGAUGGGAGCCAUCUUCCCAGUCCACCAUCCCCAUCGUGGGCAUUGUUGCUGGCCUGGCUGUCCUAACCUUUUUGGUCACUGGAGCUGUGGUCGCUGCUGUGUUGUGGAGGAGGAAGAGCUCAGGUAGGGAAGGGGUGAGGGGUGGAGUCUGGGUUUUCUUGUCCCACUGGGGGUUUCAAGCCCCAGGUAGAAGCGUCCUCCGCCUCAUUAGUGAAGGGGUGGCCUAUUCCAGCAUUCAUGAGUCAGGGGAAGGUCCCUGCUAA